rnacentral:tRNA from 1 species
UGGGGAUGUAGCUUAAUUGGUAGAGCAAUUACAAAGCGUGUAUUAGAUCUUGGUUCGACUCCUUGCGUCUCCAUCAGAUUUAUUUUUUUUUAAUUUUUUUAUUUAACAAGUGAUGACAAUAAAAUUUAAAUAUAAAUGGGAGUACGUUGAAAUAUCAACUUGGGGAUGUAGCUCAAUUGGUAGAGCGAUUACAAAGCGUGUUUUAGAUCUUGGUUCAACUCCUUGCGUCUCCAUGAGAUUAAUUUUUUUUUAUUUAACAAGUGAUGACAAUAAAAUUUAAAUACAGAUGGAAGUACAUUGAAAUAUCAACUUGGGGAUGUAGCUCAAUUGGUAGAGCGAUUACAAAGCGUGUAUUAGAUCUUGGUUUGACUCCUUGCAUCUCCAUCAGAUUUUUUUAUUUAACAAGUGAUGACAAUAAAGUUUAAAUACAAAUGGGAGUACAUUGAAAUAUCAACUUGGGGAUGUAGCUCAAUUGGUAGAGCGAUUACAAAGCGUGUAUUAGAUCUUGGUUCGACUCCUUGCGUCUCCAUCAGAUUUAUUUUCUUUUAUUUUUUUAUUUAACAAGUGAUGACAAUAAAAUUUAAAUACAAAUGGGAGUACAUUGAAUUAUCAACUUGGGGAUGUAGCUCAAUUGGUAGAGCGAUUACAAAGCAUGUAUUAGAUCUUGGUUCGACUCCUUGCGUCUCCAUCAGAUUUAUUUUUUUAUUUAACAAGUGAUGACAUAAAUUUAAAUACAAAUGGGAGUACAUUGAAAUAUCAACUUGGGGAUGUAGCUCAAUUGGUAGAGCGAUUACAAAGCAUGUAUUAGAUCUUGGUUCGACUCCUUGCGUCUCCAUCAGAUUUAUUUUUUUAUUUAACAAGUGAUGACAUAAAUUUAAAUACAAAUGGGAGUAUAUUGAAUUAUCAACUUGGGGAUGUAGCUCAAUUGGUAGAGCGAUUACAAAGCGUGUAUUAGAUCUUGGUUCGACUCCUUGCAUCUCCAUCAGAUUUAUUUAUUUUUAUUUUUUAAUUUAACAAGUGAUGACAUAAAUUUAAAUACAAAUGGGAGUACAUUGAAUUAUCAACUUGGGGAUGUAGCUCAAUUGGUAGAGCGAUUACAAAGCAUGUAUUAGAUCUUGGUUCGACUCCUUGCGUCUCCAUCAGAUUUAUUUUUUUAUUUAACAAGUGAUGACAUAAAUUUAAAUACAAAUGGGAGUAUAUUGAAUUAUCAACUUGGGGAUGUAGCUCAAUUGGUAGAGCGAUUACAAAGCGUGUAUUAGAUCUUGGUUCGACUCCUUGCAUCUCCAUUAGAUUUAUUUAUUUUUAUUUUUUAAUUUAACAAGUGAUGACAAUAAAAUUUAAAUACAAAUGGGAGUACAUUGAAUUAUCAACUUGGGGAUGUAGCUCAAUUGGUAGAGCGAUUACAAAGCAUGUAUUAGAUCUUGGUUCGACUCCUUGCGUCUCCAU